UUACGGUCAAAUCACGUUGAAACACCGGUUCUCGUUCGAUCACCGAAGUUAAGCAUCGUAGAGCCAGGUCAGUACUUAGAUGGGGGGAC